rnacentral:rRNA from 1 species
UGCCAGCAGCCGCGGUAAUACGUAGGGCGCAAGCGUUGUCCGGAAUUAUUGGGCGUAAAGAGCUCGUAGGUGGCUGGUCGCGUCUGCCGUGAAAGCCCGCAGCUUAACUGCGGGUCUGCGGUGGAUACGGGCCGGCUAGAGGUAGGUAGGGGCAAGUGGAAUUCCUGGUGUAGCGGUGAAAUGCGCAGAUAUCAGGAGGAACACCGGUGGCGAAGGCGGCUUGCUGGGCCUUACCUGACGCUGAGGAGCGAAAGCGUGGGGAGCGAACAGGAUUAGAUACCCUGGUAGUCCACGCUGUAAACGUUGGGCGCUAGGUGUGGGACCCUUCCACGGGUUCCGUGCCGGAGCUAACGCAUUAAGCGCCCCGCCUGGGGAGUACGGCCGCAAGGCUAAAACUCAAAGGAAUUGACGGGGGCCCGCACAAGCGGCGGAGCAUGUUGCUUAAUUCGACGCAACGCGAAGAACCUUACCAAGGUUUGACAUCACCCGGACCGGUCUAGAGAUAGGCCUUCCCUUUUGGGCUGGGUGACAGGUG